rnacentral:SRP_RNA from 1 species
GGGAAGAUCCCCUGCGGCGCAAGACUCUGAACCUCGUCAGGUCCGGGAGGAAGCAGCGAUAAGGGGUAAUUUGCGGGUGCCAGGGGUCAAUCUUCCCUCA